UCUCUGAUAGUAUAUCGGUUAGUACACGCGCCUGUCAUUUAGAUUUCGCGCGAAAGCUGGGUUCGACUCCCAGUCAGAGAG